CCUAGGUGUGUUUAAAUGCACUUUGUAAAAGCAGUCUUGCUGGCAUCUCCAUUCCUGAUGUCUGUGAGAAAUCCUCCCCGGUGCUCAGAUUGCAGUCCUGGUGGUAUCUUUUUUAGCCUGAAACUGCAAGUGAUCUGUAAAGAAUCUGCUGGAUUCUUUACAUCUCACAUCUGGUCCCCAUUAAGCAAACACUUAACACUGCCCAAGCUGUAGCAGGGCAGCACCUGCACACAGGGGUACAGCUAUAGCUGUGAGGCAGCUCGGUUCCCAGCAGAACAGACCCACAGAUGGGGUGAGUUACAAUCCCAGCAGCUAUUUCUUCAUCCUCAGCUUCAGCUGGGUGUUAGAGGGUGUUUGACUUUUAAUGUCUACUGGUGUCUGGCCAAAUGAUGAAGCAGUUGAGAGAUGUGGAGUUCUUUUGUCCUUCUCAAUGUGUGCUGCGGUGCUGGCUCUUCAAAAGCAGGUAGCUGAUAAUGCAAGCAUUUUGCAGUUGUGCUGUGAUUUUCCAGGAGUCCGAAGCAGCGUUUGGAUUGACACACUACUUCUGAAAGCUUAGCUGUUAAGUUGCCCUUGGCAGUGUAUUUGCAGUGGCUGUGGCCCUGUUGGUCCAAUGUUGAUGGAUGCUGGGACUGCUGGUGUGAUUGCAGCGCCAGGUGCUUCGCAAGCAUGAGUUCUUCUGUCCUCAUCAUCCCUGUGAGGCAGGAAUGGGCCAUCGCACCUCUAUAGGUGCAACAGGUGAACUUCCCAUCAGAAUCCCAUUUUGCACAGAUGGCCACCACUACUUCAGCACUUGAGAUACUGCCUGUGCUUGCAACAUCCAAG